CUUUAAAAGAAGAUAAAGUUACAGACUGAAGAGUAAGAUGGAAAGGAUCUCGUCUUCAAAUAUCCCUUAACUGAUAGAAUACACCAGAAAUUUGGCGACAGAGAGAGAGAGAAACAAAAAUGCCGGUGAUGGAAAAGUUGAGAAGGUUUGUAGCGCAAGAUCCAGUGGUGGCUGUUUGUUCUUCGUCUUCUCAAUUCCGUGCUUCAAUUAAUGAUCAUGGUUCGCUGCUGUGAGGCCCAUGCUGGAUUCCUUAGAAGGAAGGAAGCACGUCCCUGAAAGGCGGCAGCCUUCUAUUAGUGAUGUGCUUGCAGGCAUGACAGGGAAACAGCGGGGAUGAAUCAUUUGAUGAAGCAAGUGUCGUCUAGCACUACAUGUAAUUUUUUAUUAGUUCUCAAAAAAUACCAUUCGGGUCUAAUCCGUAUCAUAACAUCAUCUCCAACAUUAAAUUUAUUGUGCCGUCUAUGUAAAUCAGCUCGAAGUUUAUAUGGUGUAUUAUUUGCUUUAAUCUUCUUAGUGAUCUCAACAUGCAAAUCCUGAA